AAACAAUAGCAUUAAAAAAUGCGUAUCGGUUUCGACCCGAUAAGAGCGUUCACACGCAUUGUUUU
rnacentral:tRNA from 1 species